ACAAAACUCUCACCCACCUACUGCUUUUAGCUCACAUUCCAGGAAUUCAGAUGAAGUGAAGUGCUCUCAUGGGGACCAGGCAUGGUUAUUCCAGUCCACUGCCCUGCAAGCCUCAAGGGAAGCCAACUGCCCUUCAGCAAGUCACACCUGCCUUGGUGGAGGCCUUGAUUGGAAGUGCCACACGCUACAUGUCCAGUCCUGAGCGGGAGAAUCGGUGUAGGGACGUUGUGGGGAUGCCGGCUGUGGCCAGAUCAGGUCCAGCUACAGAAGAAUGAAGACUCCACCUGAGGGCUGGAAAAACAAAACCUCAAGUGUGAGGCAGCCAACCUGUUACCUCGAGGGACUGUCCCGCAGCACAGCGGGGCCAUGGGAACAGCAGCAGACACCCCGGCCUCCUCGCUACCUAUCAACUAUGGCCUGAGUAUGAUAGACUUAUCCAUGGUUUAAACAGAAUAUAUUGUUUUCAACUUUGAAAAUAAGAAUAUGGAAAUCCAGAUGCAGAAAUGUGAGAAGAAAAGAGAGUAAACAGAGUGGAAGGUCAGGUGACCUUGCCUGUCAUGAAUAUGAAGGUCAAGGUGUGUGAAUUG
rnacentral:lncRNA from 1 species